UAUCGAGUUUGAACCUUGCCAGCCACCGUAUCGAGCUAGAAAGGGGCUAACGCAGUAGAGGUUAUAAAAGCCAAAACACUGUUAUUGUAUAGUAUUUUCAUUUCAUUUAUUGUCCUGCAGCCUGCGGCGGAGCGUUUGCUCUGUACAGUAGUUCCGUACUUCUGCUCGUGUUCGUCCGCUGGCGUGAAACCGACGAACUUCACCCCCCAAAACACUUUAGGUAAGACGUUCGUUAGCCGGCGGUUAGCAUCAGUUAGCUUAGCUCCGGGCUAACAGCAGGUGAAGCCAAUCACUCGUCUCUGCUCGCUGCGGUUUUAUCGAUCACGGAAGUGUGUGGACUUUGCAGCGGGCACACCUGCGAUGCUGUCGGUCGUUGUCAGGUCGGCUCUCGCCAAAAACAGGGGCUUGUGGCUGCCCACUCAGUCUGUGGUCAGGGCCAUGUCGUCCGCAGGUGGUGCCACCUCGCCCUACACAAACCCUCGCCAUCAGUCACCCAGCCAAGUCCGUCACACACGUGGAGCUCCACCGCCCUGAGAAACUCAACGCCAUGAACUCGGCCUUCUGGAGGCAAGAAUCUGAUUCAAAUUAAGACGCCAGCAUUCGUUGUAGCCACCAGAAACAUGCAGGAGAGUUUACAUUAGGAUAAAUAAAUAACUGCUGUACGUUAGGACUGGCAAUCCCAGUUUGUGCACCCAGGACGCCUGGUUCCAGGUAAAAGAAGUUGAUAUUGGACUAGCAGCAGACGUUGGGACUCUCCAGAGACUUCCUAAAGUCAUCGGCAGCCGCAGGUUUGGCAAUUUGCGGCUAAGAGGAGCCGGCUUCCCAACUGAAAUGUGCCCUAUGGCAGUCACACGGCCUCCCAGUGGGCGGUAAGCGGACUAUUCCAAAAUGGAACAAAACGGAUGGAAACGCCAGCCAAACGGCCAGCCACCCCCACCCGUGGGCCUUUCAGCUUGAUUAAACCAGGAAUCCAUCCUGAGGUGGAGAGUUGUUUCCCCCCCCAAAAGAGGAAAAGGAUAAGAGUAUGGGAUGAAAUGAGUUGAGUGGAAAGUGGAGGAACUACUGCUGCAAAUGUCCUCCUCCCUCUGUUUGUAAGCAUGCAAUGGUGACGCAGAUGGCAAUGGGAGCAAUUCAGAGGAUGUGGCUGCCAACCCCAACAAGCGCCAGAGACAGCCUGCCCUGCUGGGCGACCACCCUCCAGAGUACGGAGGAGGUUACCAUGGCUACGACGAAAGCUAUGGAUCCCCGCCCU